rnacentral:rRNA from 1 species
CCUACGGGAGGCAGCAGUGGGGAAUUUUGGACAAUGGGGGCAACCCUGAUCCAGCAAUGCCGCGUGAGUGAAGAAGGCCCUCGGGUUGUAAAGCUCUUUUGUCAGGGAAGAAAAGGUUGCGGCUAAUAUCCGCGACUCAUGACGGUACCUGAAGAAUAAGCACCGGCUAACUACGUGCCAGCAGCCGCGGUAAUACGUAGGGUGCAAGCGUUAAUCGGAAUUACUGGGCGUAAAGCGUGCGCAGGCGGUUUUGUAAGACUGUCGUGAAAUCCCCGGGCUUAACCUGGGAAUGGCGAUGGUGACUGCAAGGCUAGAGUUUGGCAGAGGGGGGUAGAAUUCCACGUGUAGCAGUGAAAUGCGUAGAUAUGUGGAGGAACACCGAUGGCGAAGGCAGCCCCCUGGGUCAAAACUGACGCUCAUGCACGAAAGCGUGGGGAGCAAACAGGAUUAGAUACCCUGGUAGUCCACGCCCUAAACGAUGUCUACUAGUUGUCGGGUCUUAAUUGACUUGGUAACGCAGCUAACGCGUGAAGUAGACCGCCUGGGGAAGUACGGUCGCAAGAUUAAAACUCAAAGGAAUUGACCGGNNGAGACGNGCGACGACGACGACGAGGGAGAGG